rnacentral:lncRNA from 1 species
GUGUUGUUUAUUUGAUUUCCCAUAAGUUAGAAAUAGAUCGUUUCAGAUGUUUUAUUAUAAUGGCAGAAAAUCAAUUAAACCUCACUAUUAAAAUAUUGAGAACUGAUCGAGGUCAUGAAUAUCUUUCUAAUUAAUUUAUAGAGUUAUAUGAUGAGAAGAAUAUUUUAUGAUAAUUAACUAUUUUUGAUAGUCCAUAACAAAAUGAUGUUAUGAAAAGAAGAAAUAGAAUCCUUCUAG